AGGACGAACGCUGGCGGCGUGCUUAACACAUGCAAGUCGAGCGAGGCCCGCCUUUCGGGGCGGUGCCCUAGCGGCGAACGGGUGAGUAACACGUGGGCAACCUGCCUCUAGCACUGGGAUAACUCCGGGAAACCGGGGCUAAUACCGGAUAUGACCUUCGAGGGCAUCCUUGUUGGUGUAAAGGACUCUGGCUAGAGAUGGGCCCGCGGCCUAUCAGCUUGUUGGUGGGGUAAUGGCCUACCAAGGCGACGACGGGUA
rnacentral:rRNA from 1 species